rnacentral:tRNA from 1 species
CCGACGGUAGCUCAGCAGGUAGAGCGCAUUACACUGAUGUAUGAGGUCGCAGGUUCGAGUCCUGCCCAACGGGCCA